ACACUCCUACGGGAGGCAGCAGUGGGGAAUUUUGGACAAUGGGCGAAAGCCUGAUCCAGCAAUGCCGCGUGAGUGAAGAAGGCCUUCGGGUUGUAAAGCUCUUUUGUCAGGGAAGAAACGGUGAAAGCUAAUAUCUUUUGCUAAUGACGGUACCUGAAGAAUAAGCACCGGCUAACUACGUGCCAGCAGCCGCGGUAAUACGUAGGGUGCAAGCGUUAAUCGGAAUUACUGGGCGUAAAGCGUGCGCAGGCGGUUUUGUAAGUCUGAUGUGAAAUCCCCGGGCUCAACCUGGGAAUUGCAUUGGAGACUGCAAGGCUAGAAUCUGGCAGAGGGGGGUAGAAUUCCACGUGUAGCAGUGAAAUGCGUAGAUAUGUGGAGGAACACCGAUGGCGAAGGCAGCCCCUGGGUCAAGAUUGACGCUCAUGCACGAAAGCGUGGGGAGCAAACAGGAUUAGAAACCCCGGUAGUCCCA
rnacentral:rRNA from 1 species